rnacentral:rRNA from 1 species
GUCUCAGGCCGGAUCAGCCUGAAGGCGCCCGAUCUCGUCUGAUCUCGGAAGUCUAAGCAGGGUCGGGCCUGGUUAGUAUCUUGGAUGGGAGACCACCUGGGAAUCCCGGGUGCGUCGAGGCU